UUUUCAUAUUGAGCAUGAUUGUAUUUUGUGUUUGUGAUAGAAGGUGUCCUGCAUUUUUCGGGUGAAUAAGCAGUCAGGUCAGGUUAACUAGCCUAGGGAGGUGGUUCUUGGAGACAUGUGUUAGCUAGCUAACAUUGCUGCAUGACUCAGGUUGAUAGGCUUUUAUCCCGCCGAGCCUGCCAAUCCGUGAACACUUGAACCCUCUGCUGUCGAUAGCAACACUGUUUACAGGCGCUUCAACACCUCAGCCUGUGCUGUGGUGUCCAUAGAGAAAGCUGUUUUUACAUGUCUGUGUUUAAGCUCUUAAGCUUUAGCUCUUCAUAGGCUGCUUUUGUAACACAGUGUCUUUGAUUUGGAGAGAUUAGUUUUACUCUUGUGUUCCUGUCUAUACUUUCAGAUAUCAGGCUUAUUUUACUGGUCGUAAUAAAUGCAAAAGUUACGUGUUUGCAGUAAAAACAGGUCAUUUUAAUUUUUAACAAACAGAUAUUUUGGACUUUUAUUAGUGUUGUAUUGAGCCAAUGGUUUGAAGUGUUUAUGAACUUUAAUGAGUCAGUAUUAGCCUAAAGCUGUGCAAGCUAUCUGUUAUUAUAAAUUGGGGGGGAGGGCAUCACAGAGUAGACAUGGCUUUUAGGUCAGUGUAAUGCUACAAAUUACGAAAGUGUGCCUCUUUUUCUCUCUGAAUUUCCAAGACUUUAUUUCAUCCUCUUCCCUUUCCCAGGUAAAGGAGAGCGCAUAAGGCUGCUCUUCAACUACCAAUAAUAUGUUGUGCUUGUGGAAUAUGUUUCUAGGUGGAAUUUCUGAGGAUUUCCACUGCUCCACUGUCUCAAAGUUCAUAGACAAACACACUUCCAAUCUCCUCAGUGUGUUGAAGAAGAAAGGAGGCUCUGCAGGAAGGGAACUUCGCAUACUUUUGGCCCAAAGCAACUGUUGAAAAGAGGAGGGAGAUCAUCCUCAGGGCAAUUGGUUUCUACCUGAUGAAGACCCAAACAUCCUCUUCAAAGUAUACCCGGAUCUGAUGCUACAGCUGUUCCGAGGGAGCUUGGACAAGUUAUCUUUACAGCAUCCGUGUUGAGGGAGGUGAUGCCACCACUCCUCCAGCUGAUGUUGGGAUAGUCACCGAGGGUGCUGAAGUUCUGCAUGACUUGGGAGACACCGCCUCUACAAGUGCACUCUUAAUAGGUGUAAUUAUGCACUGAACCUCCGUUAUCCUCAGAACCUUAAAGCCUUCCUUUGAGGUACUUCACAAGUGAUUCUUUCAACUAGAAGCUAGUGUGACACCCUGUGGGGUCAUGAGUGUGGCCUGUCUCUCUUGCGCUCUCUCUCU